rnacentral:rRNA from 1 species
GAUGAACGCCGGCGGCGUGCUUAACACAUGCAAGUCGAACGAUGAAGCCCAGCUUGCUGGGUGGAUUAGUGGCGAACGGGUGAGUAACACGUGAGUAACCUGCCCUUAACUCUGGGAUAAGCCUGGGAAACUGGGUCUAAUACCGGGUAGGAGCGUCCACCGCAUGGUGGGUGUUGGAAAGAUUUAUCGGUUUUGGAUGGACUCGCGGCCUAUCAGCUUGUUGGUGAGGUAAUGGCUCACCAAGGCGACGACGGGUAGCCGGCCUGAGAGGGUGACCGGCCACACUGGGACUGAGACACGGCCCAGACUCCUACGGGAGGCAGCAGUGGGGAAUAUUGCACAAUGGGCGCAAGCCUGAUGCAGCGACGCCGCGUGAGGGAUGACGGCCUUCGGGUUGUAAACCUCUUUCAGUAGGGAAGAAGCGAAAGUGACGGUACCUGCAGAAGAAGCACCGGCUAACUACGUG